rnacentral:sRNA from 1 species
CUGUACCACGCGAGCACUUCGAUCCUGAGCGCGACGGACGCACCCACCUGACGGUUGCGCGUUACGUUUGUUAACC